CCUACGGGUGGCAGCAGUGAGGAAUAUUGGACAAUGGGCGCUAGCCUGAACCAGCCAAGUAGCGUGAAGGAUGACUGCCCUCUGGGUUGUAAACUUCUUUUUUAUGGGAAUAUAGUGCAGUAUGUAUACUGCUUUGCAUGUACCUUAUGAAUAAGGAACGGCUACCUCUGUGCCAGCAGCCGCGGUAAUACGGAGGAUCCGGGCGUUAUCCGGUGUUAUUGGGUUUAAAGGGAUCGUAGGCGGGUUGUUAAGUCAGAUGUGAAAGUUUGCGGCUCAACCGUAAAAUUGCAGUUGAUACUGGCAUCCUUGAGUACAGUAGAGGUAGGCGGAAUUCGUGGUGUAGCGGUGAAAUGCUUAGAUAUCACGAAGAACUCCGAUUGCGAAGGCAGCCUGCUGGACUGUAACUGACGCUGAUGCUCGAAAGUGUAGGUAUCAAACAGGAUUAGAUACCCUUGUAGUC
rnacentral:rRNA from 1 species